UUUAAAGGGAGCGUAGAUGGAUGUUUAAGUCAGUUGUGAAAGUUUGCGGCUCAACAGUAAAAUUGCAGUUGAUACUGGAUAUCUUGAGUGCAGUUGAGGCAGGCGGAAUUCGUGGUGUAGCGGUGAAAUGCUUAGAUAUCACGAAGAACUCCGAUUGCGAAGGCAGCCUGCUAAGCUGCAACUGACAUUGAGGCUCGAAAGUGUGGGUAUCAAACAGGAUUAGAUACCCUGGUAGUCCACACGGUAAACGAUGAAUACUCGCUGUUUGCGAUAUACAGCAAGCGGCCAAGCGAAAGCGUUAAGUAUUCCACCUGGGGAGUACGCCGGCAACGGUGAAACUCAAAGGAAUUGACGGGGGCCCGCACAAGCGGAGGAACAUGUGGUUUAAUUCGAUGAUACGCGAGGAACCUUACCCGGGCUUAAAUUGCAGAUGAAUUACGGUGAAAGCCGUAAGCCGCAAGGCAUCUGUGAAGGUGCUGCAUGGUUGUCGUCAGCUCGUGCCGUGAGGUGUCGGCUUAAGUGCCAUAACGAGCGCAACCCUUGUUGUCAGUUACUAACAGGUUCCGCUGAGGACUCUGACAAGACUGCCAUCGUAAGAUGUGAGGAAGGUGGGGAUGACGUCAAAUCAGCACGGCCCUUACGUCCGGGGCUACACACGUGUUACAAUGGGGGGUACAGAGGGCCGCUACCACGCGAGUGGAUGCCAAUCCCCAAAACCUCUCUCAGUUCGGACUGGAGUCUGCAACCCGACUCCACGAAGCUGGAUUCGCUAGUAAUCGCGCAUCAGCCACGGCGCGGUGAAUACGUUCCCGGGCCUUGUACACACCGCCCGUCAAGCCAUGGGAGCCGGGGGUACCUGAAGUGCGUAACCGCGAGGAGC
rnacentral:rRNA from 1 species